UUAUCCUCAUAAGUUUGGCGACAAGAAGGACCAUCUGGACUUAAAGAAUAAAUUUAAAAAAUAGAAUUAAAGGUUAAUUAAUAAAAUAAGCUCAGUUAAUUAAGUUGAUUAGUAAAAUUAAACAGUAAAAUUAAUAUCCGGUGGUGACACAUAAUCGGGGGCCCCGACUGUUUACUAAAAACACAAGAAUCUGCAAUGAUUAAUAUCAUAGUAUAGGUUCUGAAAUUUGCCCAAUGCCAUUAAUAUAAGAGCGGUAAUUUAUAAAGGUUACUAAUCGAACAUCUGGUUAAUAGCGGUCUUAACUAUGAGGAUCCAAAGGUAGCAUAAUCAUUUGGCCAUUAAAUGUGGUCUGGUAUCAAUAAUGUAACGAUGGCCCCACUGUCUCAACAAGUCGCUCAGUGAAAUUGAAUUGUGAGUGCAGAUGCUCACUACCUUCCGG
rnacentral:rRNA from 1 species